AGAGUUUGAUCCUGGCUCAGGACGAACGCUGGCGGCGCGCCUAACACAUGCAAGUCGAACGGAGCAUUUGAGCUUGCUCAAAUGCUUAGUGGCGAACGGGUGAGUAACACGUGAGCAAUCUGCCUUCGAGUGGGGGACAACAGUUGGAAACGACUGCUAAUACCGCAUAAGACCACACUUCCGCAUGGAAGAGGGGUCAAAGGAUUUAUUCGCUUGAAGAUGAGCUCGCGUCCGAUUAGAUAGUUGGUGAGGUAACGGCCCACCAAGUCGACGAUCGGUAGCCGGACUGAGAGGUUGAACGGCCACAUUGGGACUGAGACACGGCCCAGACUCCUACGGGAGGCAGCAGUGGGGAAUAUUGCACAAUGGGGGAAACCCUGAUGCAGCGACGCCGCGUGAGCGAAGAAGAUCUUCGGAUUGUAAAGCUCUGUCUUAGGGGACGAUAAUGACGGUACCCUGAGAGGAAGCCCCACGGCUAACUACGUGCCAGCAGCCGCGGU
rnacentral:rRNA from 1 species